rnacentral:rRNA from 1 species
GACGAACGCUGGCGGCGUGCUUAACACAUGCAAGUCGAACGAAGAGCGAUGGAAGCUUGCUUCUAUCAAUCUUAGUGGCGCACGGGUGAGUAACGCGUAAUCAACCUGCCCUUCAGAGGGGGACAACAGUUGGAAACGACUGCUAAUACCGCAUACGAUCUAAUCUCGGCAUCGAGGAUAGAUGAAAGGUGGCCUCUACAUGUAAGCUAUCACUGAAGGAGGGGAUUGCGUCUGAUUAGCUAGUUGGAGGGGUAACGGCCCACCAAGGCGAUGAUCAGUAGCCGGUCUGAGAGGAUGAACGGCCACAUUGGGACUGAGACACGGCCCAGACUCCUACGGGAGGCAGCAGUGGGGAAUCUUCCGCAAUGGACGAAAGGCUGACGGAGCAACGCCGCGUGAGGGAUGACGGCCUUCGGGUUGGAAAGCUCUGUUAAUCGGGACGAAAGGCCUUCUUGCGAAUAGUGAGAAGGAUUGACGGUACCGGAAUAGAAAGCCACGGCUAACUACGUG